UGGGGAAUUUUGGACAAUGGGCGAAAGCCUGAUCCAGCAAUGCCGCGUGUGUGAAGAAGGCCUUCGGGUUGUAAAGCACUUUUGUCCGGAAAGAAAUCCUUGGCUCUAAUACAGUCGGGGGAUGACGGUACCGGAAGAAUAAGCACCGGCUAACUACGUGCCAGCAGCCGCGGUAAUACGUAGGGUGCAAGCGUUAAUCGGAAUUACUGGGCGUAAAGCGUGCGCAGGCGGUUUGCUAAGACCGAUGUGAAAUCCCCGGGCUCAACCUGGGAACUGCAUUGGUGACUGGCAGGCUAGAGUAUGGCAGAGGGGGGUAGAAUUCCACGUGUAGCAGUGAAAUGCGUAAGAGAUGUGGAGGAAUACCGAUGGCGAAGGCAGCCCCCUGGGCCAAUACUGACGCUCAUGCACGAAAGCGUGGGGAGCAAACAGGAUUAGAUACCCUGGUAGUCCACGCCCUAAACGAUGUCAACUAGUUGUUGGGGACUUCAUUUCCUUAGUAACGUAGCUAACGCGUGAAGUUGACCGCCUGGGGAGUACGGUCGCAAGAUUAAAACUCAAAUGAAUUGACGGGGUCAUAGCUGUUUCC
rnacentral:rRNA from 1 species